AGUGAACGCUGGCGGUAGGCCUAACACAUGCAAGUCGGACGGCAGCACAGUAAGAGCUUGCUCUUACGGGUGGCGAGUGGCGGACGGGUGAGGAAUACAUCGGAAUCUACUUUUUCGUGGGGGAUAAUGUAGGGAAACUUACGCUAAUACCGCAUACGACCUACGGGUGAAAGCAGGGGAUCUUCGGACCUUGCGCGAUUGAAUGAGCCGAUGUCGGAUUAGCUAGUUGGCGGGGUAAAGGCCCACCAAGGCGACGAUCCGUAGCUGGUCUGAGAGGAUGAUCAGCCACACUGGAACUGAGACACGGUCCAGACUCCUACGGGAGGCAGCAGUGGGGAAUAUUGGACAAUGGGCGCAAGCCUGAUCCAGCCAUACCGCGUGGGUGAAGAAGGCCUUCGGGUUGUAAAGCCCUUUUGUUGGGAAAGAAAAGCAGCAGGUUAAUACCCCGCUGUUCUGACGGUACCCAAAGAAUAAGCACCGGCUAACUUCGUG
rnacentral:rRNA from 1 species